rnacentral:rRNA from 1 species
AUGGCUGGUGUGACUAUCUCCAGGGUUGGCGGCGCUCUUUCGUUGCAGAAGACGCGGGCGGCAAGCCACCCCAGGGCCACGCCGGUGGCUAGAGCGGCAGAAAUUCUGGUCUGCCGCUCUCUCGGCAUCGUGAAGGAUGGUGAGGAUGUAACUACUGCGGCCCUCGAUGCCUUCGCGGAACGCUUCAAAGAGCACCUGUCUCCGGAGGUGAUCACAGCCAUGAGGUGGCUUUUCAAGCUCGACAACGAUAAUGCGCACGCUGUGGAGGAUGCCCUGCUGGCGCAUGGCGGGGGUGGUGCGCUGGACCUGGAGAGGGCUGAUCAGCAGGCCGAGCUG